UACGAAGGGGGGCUAGCGUUGCUCGGAAUCACUGGGCGUAAAGCGCACGUAGGCGGAUUGCUAAGUCAGGGGUGAAAUCCUGGAGCUCAACUCCAGAACUGCCUUUGAUACUGGCGAUCUCGAGUCCGGGAGAGGUGAGUGGAACUGCGAGUGUAGAGGUGAAAUUUCGUAGAUAUUCGCAAGAACACCAGUGGCGAAGGCGGCCUUCUGGACGGAUACUGACGCUGAGGGCGCGAAA
rnacentral:rRNA from 1 species